rnacentral:rRNA from 1 species
CGCUUUUGGAGGGGGGUGCGUCCUAUCAGGUAGUUGGUGUGGUAAUAGCUCACCAAGCCUAUGACGGGUAGCCGGUCUGAGAGGAUGUCCGGCCGCAAUGGAACUGAGACACGGUCCAUACUCCUACGGGAGGCAGCAGUGGGGAAUCUUGCGCAAUGGGCGAAAGCCUGACGCAGCAAUCCCGCGUGAAGGAUGAAGCAUUAUGGUGUGUAAACUUCUUUUCUGGUGGAAGACGAAUGACGGUACACCAGGAAUAAGGGACGGCUAACUACGUGCCAGCAGCCGCGGUAAUACGUAGGUCCCAAGUGUUAUCCGGAAUUACUGGGCGUAAAGAGUCUGUAGCCGGGUUUGUAAGUCUGUUUUCAAAUCCUAUGGCUUAACCAUAGAGAGGGAAUGGAUACUGCAAACCUUGAGAUUAUUGGGGGUUGAUGGAAUUUCCGGUGGAGCGGUGAAAUGCGUUGAUAUCGGAAGGAACGCCAAAAGUGAAAGCAGUCAACUACAAUAAAUCUGACGGUCAGAGACGAAAGCUUGGGGAGCAAACGGGAUUAGAUACCCCGGUAGUCCAAGCCGUAAAUUAUGCAUGCUAGGUGUCUUGUUCACUUUAUGUGAGCGGGGUGCCGUAAUCUAACGAGUUAAGCAUGCCGCCUGGGUAGUAUAUUCGCAAGAAUGAAACUCAAAGGGAUAGGCGGGGGAACACACAAGCAGUGGAUUGUCUCGAUUAAUUGGAUAAUAAGCCAAGAAUCUUACCUAGACUUGACAUAUAUUGUGUCCUACGUGAAAGUGUAGUAAUCCCGAUUUUGUCGGGAUACGAUAUACAGGUGGUGCAUGGUCGUCGUCAGCUCGUGCCGCAAGAUGUCCAGUUAAGUCUGGGAACGAGCGCAACCCUCGUUGUUAGUUA